CUACGGGGUGCUCCAGUGGGGAAUAUUGCACAAUGGAGGAAACUCUGAUGCAGCAACGCCGCGUGGAGGAUGACACUUUUCGGAGCAUAAACUCCUUUUAUAUAGGAAGAAGAUGACGGUACUAUAUGAAUAAGCGCCGGCUAACUCCGUGCCAGCAGCCGCGGUAAUACGGAGGGCGCAAGCGUUACUCGGAAUCACUGGGCGUAAAGAGCGUGUAGGCGGAUUAAAAAGUCAGAAGUGAAAUCCUAUAGCUUAACUAUAGAACUGCUUCUGAAACUCUUAAUCUAGAAUAUGGGAGAGGUAGAUGGAAUUUCUGGUGUAGGGGUAAAAUCCGUAGAGAUCAGAAGGAAUACCGAUUGCGAAGGCGAUCUACUAGAACAUUAUUGACGCUGAGACGCGAAAGCGCGGGGAGCAAACAGGAUUAGAUACCCGCGUAGUC
rnacentral:rRNA from 1 species